rnacentral:lncRNA from 1 species
GAUCAUGUAUUUCAACUAGCUAUUCGGAUCCUAUUUUCUAUUUGAUAAAAUUGAGAUUGCUGCGUUAAACCUAACUUAGCAAUUAAAAGAAUAUUAAGAUAAAUAGAGAGGAUUAGGUUUGGUUUGGAUCCAAAUUAAGGCCUAAACCACUUGGUCCAAGUCAAAUUGCAUGCAAGCAGAAAGACAGACUUGACCCGGGUUUACUUAAACCCAUAGGUUUAAUCUGAUGGGAUACAUGAUAUCAAGGAUGGAUUCUUUUUAUUUUGUAUUUUUUUGGGGGG